GAUUUCAUUUCCCAUCAUCCUGUACCUGCCACUGAUUACACUCACACCUGAAUCCAAUCUCAUGUUCUAUUUAGCCUUUGCGAAAUUUUGUUUUGCUGUGGCUAACAACUCUAAGUGUUUAUCCCUGUUUAUGGUAUUUCUGUGUAUGACCCUGGACUGUUUGCCUUGUUAUGAUUCCCUGCUGCCUGCCUUUAUUACUGUGCCCUGUUGGACGAUGGGAGACGAUGGAGAGGAGAACAUGCUGGAGGUACACAUAAGGUAAGUAGAGGGAAGACGCUGGAGAAUAUUGCUUGGAGAAUCGUGGAACGAACAAGGAGUGAGUCCACCUCGUGUUAACGAGACCGGACACUGAAGUGAGACAGUUCCCGGAAUUUUUCCCAAUCUGCUUUCCAAAAUUCAUUUUGAUAUUCUACCCCCUGGUCUCACCUCUUCCCUUUCUCCAAUUGAACAAGAAACUGGGUCAGAAUGAGGGUGUUAUUUGAAAUUCUGUGUUCUCGUCCUGCUCUUGCAGCGACAAUAAACUAAAAUCAAGACGUGACGGAGUAUUAAGACUCAAUGACAGCAGGAAUAUAUCAGACGUCAUUCAGAGAAAUGAUUCACUUGAGGAUCAGGAUCCAGAACACAAUGUUUUCCCAGAGGAGUUUAAGAAGGAAACUUCAAUCUCAUAUUCAUUUGUGGCUUCAUCUGUGUGUUUGCAGUGCAGUAAAUAAAGUGUCUCUGCAGGACACAGUAGAGGCUGUUAUUGGCGGUUCUGUUGUCCUGCCAUGUUCUUCCACUGAACAUUAUCAUAACCUUCAAGAUAUUCAUGUGUUUUGGAGACACAAUGGCAGCAAGAUUGUGUGUGAUAUAAUUCCCAGCAGUCAUUCACAAGGGAAACAGGAUUCAGAGUAUAAAAACAGAACUGAAUCAUUUCCAGAGGAGUAUGAAAGAGGAAACUUCUCCAUCAAACUCCAAAAUCUCAUUUAUGCUGAUACAGGAGAAUACAGCUGCCUCAUCUCACACUCAUCUGAACAUCCUGCUGUACAGCUGAUCAUU